CUGCUAAUCACAAAGAAUCGAUAGCAAAUUGUUUGCUAAUCAUCGUAAAAUGAUAACCCAUAUCUUAAACAUCUGUUGCUGUGUUGUCGGCCGUUUUGUUUUGAUUCCUUUUGUGUUGUCCGCCUUUCCCUUUUGAUUCCAUCUUUAUUUCGAUUUUCUCUCUGUGCUGUCUUUCUUUUCAGUGUUGCCAUAUUGUAGUGUCCUUUGUUCGUUACUUCUUUUUCUUUUCUCGGUGGCGUCGGUUGAAACAAAUAGAACAAAUGUGUAUAUGUGUGAUUUGAGAUUGUGCGUGAUUUAAAAGACUAAAAAAACAAUAAACAAAACCCGACCGCCAACAUAACCUCCAAUUAAUGGUCCAUGGAUAGAAAAGCCAUAUAUGUGUCUCCAGCAACUCGAGAA